rnacentral:rRNA from 1 species
UACGUAGGGUGCAAGCGUUGUCCGGAAUUAUUGGGCGUAAAGAGCUCGUAGGCGGUUUGUUGCGUCGGCUGUGAAAAUCCCGAGGCUCAACCUCGGGUCUGCAGUCGAUACGAGCAAACUAGAGUGUUGCAGGGGAGACUGGAAUUCCUGGUGUAGCGGUGAAAUGCGCAGAUAUCGGGAGGAACACCUAUGGCGAAGGCAGCUCGCUGGGACGUUACUGACGCUGAGACGCGAAAGCGUGGGGGAGCAAACAGG